GAGCUAAACCCCCAGGCCCUUAGAGAGGAUAUUUUGUUUCUUGGUCUCUUAAACAUGUUUCUUUGAUUCUUUGAUCUUCUGUUCAUAAUUUAACAAUCUUUGUUCAAGUUCUUCAUUUUCUUUCAUGAUGUUCUUCCCCUUUUCAGAAAGUUGCUGUUCAGUGACUUGAUACAAUCUGUCCUUUUCAGCAAGAACAGUUCUCCGCAAGGAAAUGGCAAGUGAAACAAUCACCAAGAAGCACAGGCUUCCAUGGUCGUCUGUAAAAAUCAGCCCCAGGCUGAACAUCAUCAGGCAACGUAGCAACCAGCUCCAGGCGGUGUAGAGGUCCCAGCAGCUGCGGCUCCCCGGGGACGCGUGACAGCGGUUCCGGCGGCAGACACUGAGGGGCAGACGCUGCCAUUGUAUAAGGGAGCUUCGCCGAAACAACGCUUCGUCCCACAGGAUCACUCUGAUCCGUCGUGGGCUGCUCCUCCUUCAUUCGGCCUUGCAGGAGCCGGGUCGGACCGAUCGCUGGAAGAGUAGGGGCGCUGUGAGGCGGGUCACUCAUGAGACCCCGAGGACCCCCCAGCCUGCGGUCCCCUGAGCAGAGGAGAUGGAGAAGGAGCUGUCCCGCAAGGUCCCAGGAGAGGGAGGCUCCAAAGCAGACAUGUAAAGGAGCACCGCGUGGGGCUGGCCACGCAGAAGCUGCCCCUGACCCUCAUGGGUCAAGGUCCGAAGGUGCAGCAUGAAGAAGCGGCCAACACAGCAGGACUUCUCGUCACCCUUGGCGCUUUUCCGUGUCACAAGGUGUACCACAGAAGCUCCAGAGACCUCCCCAUACUUGGCUGCAUAAAAAAAUACAGUAUAUCCUUCCAGGAAAACACAAAACAAAAGGCUUGCAAUUCACCACCCUCCUCCCAUAGGUAGCAUCAAUGUCAGUAUUCAUGCAUGGCCUUUUCCUUUGACCCACAUUUGUCUCUUCAGUAAUUCAGACUUGAGGGGCUGGGGAUUUAGCUCAGCGGCAAAGUGCCUGCCCGGCAAGUGCAAGGUUGUGAGUUUGAUUCCCGGUAUUGGAAGGAAAAAAAAAUUUAGACUUGAGUUUCAUUAGGAACAAAAUAGACUUUCUUGCUGGGUUUGGUGGUGCAACCCUAUAAUCCCAGCACUUGGG